CCACAAGAGCCUAGAUUUUCUGUCUACUAUGCGGGUAGAUACUUGUGCCUGGAGCUUAGAAGAGCCAUCUAAAAGUCAUCCAUACUGAUGUUGUGAUUGAAGCCUGGGGCAUUGAUAAGAUGACCCGGUGAGGUCAUAAACUCUCUAAUCAAAGACACCUGGGGCCGGGAACCUUUGAGGGGUGGAAGGAGGCCGAUGAGCUGAACCUAUAAGAAGCCACGUGCCAGGUGCCUUGCUCGACUGUCAAGAACACAGAGUGAUCUCAAUCUGUGCACCUCACAGAGAAGAGCCGUUUCUCCUGAAGAUAGCAACACAGAAGUGUAAUGGAUCCUGUUCAGGUAUUUCAGGAUGAGCCAGAGACCGAACUCCCAGGCGGAGCCGCCUCCCUUACUGCCUCCAGAGCACACAGCGAGGAGGUCCCAAUUCCCACGAAAGCCCCGGGGAUUCAGAAUUCUGUUUCAUUCCUGUCUUCAGGGCAAAUACAUAAGAGCAGUGAAGGAACUUCCUUUUAUGUCUGAAAGGGAUCGCCCCGCACUCCCGUUUAUACUGCCCUGAAAACAUCAUACAAUAAACUGGGGCAGAGGCGUUCCCUGAGCGCAAGUUUCUAGAAGCUGCCAUAUCAGUGAAAACGUUCGAUGCAAGCCCACGCUGCCUUGAGGAGUCUCCCGCCUCGCUCUCCCUGGGUGUGUACAUCUCCUUGACCUGCACUCCUGCAGACCCGUGCUCUUCUCCGCCAACACGUGGCCUGCUCUUGGUACUGGAUCGGCUGGCUCAGCUGCAAGCCCCACUCCUGUAGGCCCCACGUGUCCCCGUGGGCCCACUGCACUUAGUGGGGGCCUCACCACACUCGCACACUUCAAUUCGGACUAAAACUACCCUUUUCACUGCCGUAGAAAGUCUGAGUGGCUUCUUCAGGAGGGGGAAGGGCAUGAACUCACAAAAUCUCAGGACUAUCAGUGAUCGAAUCCCGGCUUUCCCUCUCCUCUCCUGAUCCAUCGGUUCUCUAAGCAGUGCCAGCCGCACCAGGGCUUCCAACCACAUUUAUCAAUGUGAUGUGUCCUCCCGAGUCUGCAGCUACUGACCCAGUCGCUGCUGCGGAGUUCUCGGAUGAUAUGUGCCCGGGCUCUUUCUGAUCGCUCCACCUACAUGCCACUCACCUUCUUCAACAUCAGUAUAUACGCAAUGCUCUAACUUUGACCUCCAAUCUGUUCUCUUUAAGGCUCCAUUCUACCAGUGCCAAGCGUUUGCUCGCGGUGUGCCAACUACUGGGCUGUAUUGCCCCAGGGAGAUAACCCAACACGAGCUUUGCUUUCGCGGAGUUUAGGGCCUGGGGAGUAAACCCAUCCGAGAGAUAAGGGACUGAUGCUGCAACAGAAGCGGAAAGGGAGCUAUCACGCACCGGAAGUGACGUUUACGUCUAGGCCUAUUAGCAAUUAGCUAGACCAGCGGAGCCCUGCGGAUGGGGUGCGGGGAGGUGUUUCGAACCCAGGGCACAGUGUUGUAAUGACUUGGAGAUAAGAGACAUUGACAUGAUUUAAAGAAUAACACAAUUCGGAGCUGGUGGACAGUAGUAUUUGAGGGGGAAAGCAGUGACAGUUGAGGCUGCCGAUGUAGGUAGCAGCCGGAUCCUGAAGGCCCUGGGAACCCUGUGCAAGGAGUUCAACUACGAAAGAGUGUCAUUCAAAAUAUUUAACAACUUAGAAUGUUUGUGCCAACCAAUCAGAACUGAUGCUGGCCUGAGCCGUCCAAUCAGAAAAGAGCCGUUAUCCACACCCCAGCUGAGUGCUGGCUCAGUCCCAAGAAUGCAAUGUUUCUGGAGAGUUUUGAGCAGUAUCUGAUAUGUCACUGAGGAAAGAAAAAUCAACAACGAUCAACAACUGAGCCUAAAAAAAGAGAGAAAAGACAAAAAUGAACUAAGCAAACAACCAGAACAUGAACAAAAUCACAGAACUGGA